rnacentral:ncRNA from 2 species
GGCCGGAUAAGGCGUUCACGCCGCAUCCGGCGGCUAUGCGCGGAUGCCUGAUGCGACGCUGGCGCGUCUUAUCAGGCC